rnacentral:lncRNA from 1 species
UCUUGAAAUGCAAAGAAAAGUACUAAAAACAUAGUAAAAAGUGGCAUGUGAUGCUCUGUCAUCACUACCAUAGAGUCGUUAGUACGGUAUGAAGCUACAUUAAGGGGAUGAAACUGUAAAAGAAACUACGUCAAUUACCAUGUGCUUUUGUCUUCCUUCUGCAUUGCAAUCAACCAAUGACAUGUUUGUAACUCCAUAAUCUAUAGCAGAGUACGUUUCUAUAGUCAGGUGGAUUAAACUACCUCCCAAUAUGUUGAAAUGUAAUG